rnacentral:rRNA from 1 species
AGGUGGCCUGUGAGGGUUGCUGGAGGUAUCAGAAGUGCGAAUGCUGACAUAAGUAACGAUAAAGCGGGUGAAAAGCCCGCUCGCCGGAAGACCAAGGGUUCCUGUCCAACGUUAAUCGGGGCAGGGUGAGUCGACCCCUAAGGCGAGGCCGAAAGGCGUAGUCGAUGGGAAACGGGUUAAUAUUCCCGUACUUGGUGUUACUGCGAAGGGGGGACGGAGAAGGCUAUGUUGGCCGGGCGACGGUUGUCCCGGUUUAAGCGUGUAGGUGUGUGUUCCAGGUAAAUCCGGUUCACUUUAACACUGAGGCGUGAUGACGAGGCACUACGGUGCUGAAGCAACAAAUGCCCUGCUUCCAGGAAAAGCCUCUAAGCAUCAGGUAACAUCAAAUCGUACCCCAAACCGACACAGGUGGUCAGGUAGAGAAUGCCAAGGCGCUUGAGAGAACUCGGGUGAAGGAACUAGGCAAAAUGGUGCCGUAACUUCGGGAGAAGGCACGCUGACACGUAGGUGAAGUGAUUUACUCACGGAGCUGAAGUCAGUCGAAGAUACCAGCUGGCUGCAACUGUUUAUUAAAAACACAGCACUGUGCAAACACGAAAGUGGACGUAUACGGUGUGACGCCUGCCCGGUGCCGGAAGGUUAAUUGAUGGGGUCAGCGCAAGCGAAGCUCCUGAUCGAAGCCCCGGUAAACGGCGGCCGUAACUAUAACGGUCCUAAGGUAGCGAAAUUCCUUGUCGGGUAAGUUCCGACCUGCACGAAUGGCGUAAUGAUGGCCAGGCUGUCUCCACCCGAGACUCAGUGAAAUUGAACUCGCUGUGAAGAUGCAGUGUACCCGCGGCAAGACGGAAAGACCCCGUGAACCUUUACUAUAGCUUGACACUGAACAUUGAGCCUUGAUGUGUAGGAUAGGUGGGAGGCUUUGAAGUGUGGACGCCAGUCUGCAUGGAGCCGACCUUGAAAUACCACCCUUUAAUGUUUGAUGUUCUAACGUGGACCCGUUACCCGGGUUGCGGACAGUGUCUGGUGGGUAGUUUGACUGGGGCGGUCUCCUCCUAAAGAGUAACGGAGGAGCACGAAGGUUGGCUAAUCCUGGUCGGACAUCAGGAGGUUAGUGCAAUGGCAUAAGCCAGCUUGACUGCGAGCGUGACGGCGCGAGCAGGUGCGAAAGCAGGUCAUAGUGAUCCGGUGGUUCUGAAUGGAAGGGCCAUCGCUCAACGGAUAAAAGGUACUCCGGGGAUAACAGGCUGAUACCGCCCAAGAGUUCAUAUCGACGGCGGUGUUUGGCACCUCGAUGUCGGCUCAUCACAUCCUGGGGCUGAAGUAGGUCCCAAGGGUAUGGCUGUUCGCCAUUUAAAGUGGUACGCGAGCUGGGUUUAGAACGUCGUGAGACAGUUCGGUCCCUAUCUGCCGUGGGCGCUGGAGAACUGAGGGGGGCUGCUCCUAGUACGAGAGGACCGGAGUGGACGCAUCACUGGUGUUCGGGUUGUCAUGCCAAUGGCACUGCCCGGUAGCUAAAUGCGGAAGAGAUAAGUGCUGAAAGCAUCUAAGCACGAAACUUGCCCCGA